GAUGAACGCUGGCGGCGUGCUUAACACAUGCAAGUCGAACGGUGAAGCGCCUUCCUUUUUGGUGGGUGUGGAUGAGUGGCGAACGGGUGAGUAACACGUGAGUAACCUGCCCCCUUCUUCUGGAUAACCGCAUGAAAGUGUGGCUAAUACGGGAUAUUCUGGGUCUGUCGCAUGAUGGGUCUGGGAAAGAUAUUGUUUCGGUGGGGGAUGGGCUCGCGGCCUAUCAGCUUGUUGGUGGGGUGAUGGCCUACCAAGGCGGGGACGGGUAGCCGGCCUGAGAGGGUGGACGGCCACAGAGGGACUGAGACACGGCUCAGACUCCGACGGGAGGCAGCAGUGGGGAAUAGUGCACAGUGGGCACAAGCCUGAUGCAGCGACGCCGCGGGAGGGAUGGAGGCCUUCGGGUGGUGAACCUCUUUCGCCAGUGAAGCAGGCCUGCCUCGUUUGUGGGUGGGUUGACGGUAGCUGGAUAAGAAGCGCCGGCUAACUACGUG
rnacentral:rRNA from 1 species